UACGUAGGGACCAAGCGUUGUUCGGAUUUACUGGGCGUAAAGGGCGCGUAGGCGGCGUGUUAAGUCACUUGUGAAAUCUCUGAGCUUAACUCAGAACGGUCAAGUGAUACUGAUGUGCUAGAGUGCAGAAGGGGCAACCGGAAUUCUUGGUGUAGCGGUGAAAUGCGUAGAUAUCAAGAGGAACACCUGAGGUGAAGACGGGUUGCUGGGCCGACACUGACGCUGAUGCGCGAAAGCUAGGGGAGCGAACGGG
rnacentral:rRNA from 1 species